rnacentral:tRNA from 1 species
GUCACUUUGCCGGAGUGGUUAACGGGAUCGCCUGCUACUGCAGCAUCUAGCGGUUGCUCUUUGAGCGCGUGUGUUCGAAUCGCACAGGUGACG